AAACUUAGGCUAGCGU
rnacentral:tRNA from 1 species